rnacentral:tRNA from 1 species
GGUGGCUCAGUGGUAGAGUGCUUGCCUCGCGUGCAUGAAGCCCUGGGUUCGAUUCCUCAGCACCA